rnacentral:rRNA from 1 species
UACGUAGGGGGCAAGCGUUAUCCGGAUUUACUGGGUGUAAAGGGAGCGUAGACGGCGAAGAAAGUCUGAAGUGAAAGCCUGCGGCUCAACCGCGGAAUGGCUUUGGAAACUUUUUUGCUGGAGUACCGGAGAGGUAAGCGGAAUUCCUAGUGUAGCGGUGAAAUGCGUAGAUAUUAGGAGGAACACCAGUGGCGAAGGCGGCUUACUGGACGGUAACUGACGUUGAGGCUCGAAAGCGUGGGGAGCAAACAGG